CAAACCCAACUACACCUCUGAUUACUAUAACCCUCUAAACCUCAGAACCCUGCACAGUUGGUUUUAGGUUGGGGCGACCACGGAGUACAACAAAACCUCCACAAUGAAGGGGAUAUUCCCUCAUCUAAGAACCACAAUUCCAAGAACUAGUAUACUAACAUAAAAUGAUCCAUUAACAUGAUCAAUGAACCAAGUUACCCUGGGGAUAACAGCGCAAUCCAUUUCAAGAGCUCCUAUCGACAAAUGGGUUU
rnacentral:rRNA from 1 species